rnacentral:rRNA from 1 species
GAUGAACGCUGGCGGUAUGCUUAACACAUGCAAGUCGAACGGACUCUUCGGAGUUUGUGGCGGCUGGGUGUGUCACGCGUGAGAAUCUGGCCUUGGGUUUGGGCCACCUACUGGAAACGGUUGACAAUACCGGACGUGACGAGAGGCAAAAGAGUAAUUGACUGCACAUGAGCUCAGGUUUGAAUAGCUAGUUGGUGAGGUUAAGGCUCACCAAGGCAGCGAUCAGUCGCAGGUUUGAGAGGAUGACCGGCCACGAUGGGAAUGAGAAGCAGCCCAGACGACUACGCGGGGCAGCGGGGGAGAAUUUUGCGCAAAGGGCGAGAGAGUGACGGAGGGAUACCGCGUGAGAAAAGAUGUCAUUUGGGAUGAAAACCUCUUUUCGUAAGGAAGAACAAAAUGACGGUACCUAAUGAGACAGCAACGGCUAACUCCGUG